CCAUAACGGGAUAACAUAAUGCAGUCGAGCGGCAGCACGGGUACUUGUACCUGGUGGCGAGCGGCGGACGGGUGAGUAAUGCCUAGGAAUCUGCCUGGUAGUGGGGGAUAACGUUCGGAAACGAACGCUAAUACCGCAUACGUCCUACGGGAGAAAGCAGGGGACCUUCGGGCCUUGCGCUAUCAGAUGAGCCUAGGUCGGAUUAGCUAGUUGGUGAGGUAAUGGCUCACCAAGGCGACGAUCCGUAACUGGUCUGAGAGGAUGAUCAGUCACACUGGAACUGAGACACGGUCCAGACUCCUACGGGAGGCAGCAGUGGGGAAUAUUGGACAAUGGGCGAAAGCCUGAUCCAGCCAUGCCGCGUGUGUGAAGAAGGUCUUCGGAUUGUAAAGCACUUUAAGUUGGGAGGAAGGGCAGUUACCUAAUACGUAAUUGUUUUGACGUUACCGACAGAAUAAGCACCGGCUAACUCUGUGCCAGCAGCCGCGGUAAUACAGAGGGUGCAAGCGUUAAUCGGAAUUACUGGGCGUAAAGCGCGCGUAGGUGGUUCGUUAAGUUGGAUGUGAAAUCCCCGGGCUCAACCUGGGAACUGCAUUCAAAACUGUCGAGCUAGAGUAUGGUAGAGGGUGGUGGAAUUUCCUGUGUAGCGGUGAAAUGCGUAGAUAUAGGAAGGAACACCAGUGGCGAAGGCGACCACCUGGACUGAUACUGACACUGAGGUGCGAAAGCGUGGGGGAGCAAACAGGAUUAGAUACCCUGGUAGUCCACGCCGUAAACGAUGUCAACUAGCCGUUGGGAGCCUUGAGCUCUUAGUGGCGCAGCUAACGCAUUAAGUUGACCGCCUGGGGAGUACGGCCGCAAGGUUAAAACUCAAAUGAAUUGACGGGGGGCCCGCACAAGCGGUGGGAGCAUGUGGUUUUAAUUCGAAGCAACGCGAAGAAGCCUUACCUAGGUCUUUGACAUCCACUGAACUUUCCAGAGAUGGAUUGGUGUCUUUCGGGAAGCAUUGAGACAGGUGCUGCAUGGACUGUUCGUCAGCUCCCGUCCGUGAGAUGAUGGGAUUAGGUCUCAUAACGAGGACAAACCCUUGAUCCUUAGUUACUAGCAGGUAAUGGGUUGGGGCAUCUCUUAAGGAAAGACAUGCCCGAUGCA
rnacentral:rRNA from 1 species